AUGAUGGACUAUAGGACAGGACUGCUGCUGUUAACUGUCUGCUGGGCAGGUGUUGAUGGUCAGACUCUGACAGAAUCUGAACCAGUGGUUAAAAGGCCUGGAGAAUCUCACAGAUUGACCUGUACAGCCUCUGGAUUCACAUUCAGUGACUACGCUAUGGCCUGGGUCAGACAGGCUCCUGGAAAAGGACUGGAGUGGGUUGCUUAUAUAGGCACAUCUAGUUCUCCUAUCCAUUACUCCCAGUCAGUCCAGGGUCGAUUCACCAUCUCCAGAGAUGACUCCAGCAGUAAACUUUAUCUACAGAUGAACAGUUUGAAGGCCGAGGACACAGCAGUGUAUUACUGUGCCCGAGAGACACAGUGAGAGACAAUAACAAGAGGGUCAUACAAAAACUACUUCCUCUGUUUACCACCACUGGGGACAUUUACCUUCUUCAGUUUCUGAAUCUAAUUCUGAACAUGAUCAAGUAAAAUUCUGAGUAGCUACUGAAUUAAUAUGGAGGUCUCAUCUUGUCUGGUAUGUCAGAAUGUUAAAUUCAGUUACAACCUACAGAAAUAUAAUGACUUAAUAUAAAAAAUUCUAAUAGUACAAAUGUCCUGAAAAAAGAAUCUGUAUUAGUAUGAAGAAAAUGUGUCCAUAUGUCUUCAUAAACACAUGGAUGGAAAUCAUGCAUGAAAUACAAACACACGUGCUUUCUUGUUCAAUGCUUUCAAAAUCAAAAAUAAGGCUAAAUUAGUUUGAUAAACCUUUCAUAAACCUUUACACCGCAAAUUAAAGACUGUUAUUGAAAAACAUUUUGUUAUUUUAUGACUCCAUGAGUGCAAAAAAUGAGUGGCUGGCAAAACAAUAUUUUUCAGUUUCCUUUGCUGUUGUAGAGAUUUUCUAAUGUUGAAAAUUAUUUGUUUUAAUCAUUUGACCACAUGCUAAGCACACUGUAAACUUGGCUUAUAGAAAGAAACUUUCUUCUUGGCUGCUCCUUUUGCUUCCA